rnacentral:rRNA from 1 species
UACGAAGGGGGCUAGCGUUGCUCGGAAUCACUGGGCGUAAAGCACACGUAGGCGGAUUGUUAAGUCAGGGGUGAAAUCCUGGAGCUCAACUCCAGAACUGCCUUUGAUACUGGCGAUCUCGAGUCCGGGAGAGGUGAGUGGAACUGCGAGUGUAGAGGUGAAAUUCGUAGAUAUUCGCAAGAACACCAGUGGCGAAGGCGGCUCACUGGCCCGGUACUGACGCUGAGGUGCGAAAGCGUGGGGAGCAAACAGG